CCGACGUGUUUAUAAGAUUCGGCUUUCGGGCAGAAUCUUAUGAGAGUGGUGUUUAGCUGUACUAUGCAGUGACAGGCCCACAACGUCGCAAAUCAUGCUAAUUUCCCACUAAGUGGUUGAGGUUUGCACUUGGCAUAUUCCAUAGCCAAACUGGAGUUACUUAAACUUUGAAGGGUGGCAAAACCAUGCCAUGGACAAAA
rnacentral:snoRNA from 11 species